GGGCCCUUUGCACUGUAGUUCGAACAAUAAAAUUGAGUAUUGAAAAAUGUUAUUGCUUAAUUUUAGACCGACUGGUAAACUUACUGUGCUUCCACCUCCUAUUGUAUCUCUUUCGGAGAGAAGACAAAAUACUCGUAAAAAGAAAUUAUAUGUAGCAGAAGAUGAAUCUUUUCAUGAUAUUGAACCAGUCAAGUGUGCAGUAACAGAUAAACCUACGGAAGUGAAAAUUCGCAGUUUAAGAUCUAGGCGAAAAUGAUAAAUUGUAUAUCGAUUAAGAAUGAGUUAUCAUAACUGAUCACUAUUAAAAAUAAAGGAACGGAGUAAUUACAGCUCCGAUAUUUUUAUGUAAAAAGUUACGUUACAAUGCAAGAUAUGCAAUCUGUAAGAAUUCUUUUUUAUUAUCUGUAAUUUAAGGCAUACUGUGAGAUGAAUAAUUAAAACCAGUAUUUUUGUAUCGUUAAGUUAUUGUCUAUAUUAAAAUAGUAUAUUUUUUUAAGUACCGCA